rnacentral:rRNA from 1 species
ACGGAGGGUGCAAGCGUUAUCCGGAAUCAUUGGGUUUAAAGGGUCCGCAGGCGGAUUUAUAAGUCAGUGGUGAAAGCCUACAGCUUAACUGUAGAACUGCCAUUGAUACUGUAAGUCUUGAAUUCGGUCGAAGUGGGCGGAAUGUGUAGUGUAGCGGUGAAAUGCAUAGAUAUUACACAGAACACCGAUAGCGAAGGCAGCUCACUAGGCCUGGAUUGACGCUCAGGGACGAAAGCGUGGGGAGCAAACAGG